CGGACGGGUGAGUAACGCGUGAGUAACCUGCCUUUCAGAGGGGGAUAACGUUCUGAAAAGAAACGCUAAUACCGCAUAACAUCAAUUUAUCGCAUGAUAGGUUGAUCAAAGGAGCAAUCCGCUGGAAGAUGGACUCGCGUCCGAUUAGCCAGUUGGCGGGGUAACGGCCCACCAAAGCGACGAUCGGUAGCCGGACUGAGAGGUUGAACGGCCACAUUGGGACUGAGACACGGCCCAGACUCCUACGGGAGACAGCAUG
rnacentral:rRNA from 1 species